rnacentral:piRNA from 1 species
UGGUCCUUCCGCCGAGAUGGCUUGAGCUAU